UUUUUUUUUAAGGUAUUGAGAAUCAAACCCAGGGUCUUGGUGCAUGCUAGGCAAGCACUCUACCACUGAGCUGCACCCCAGCCCUCUUUUAUUUUAUUUUGAAACAGUGUCUCACUGAGUUGCUUAAGCUGACCUCCAACUUUAGAGUCUCCUACCUCAACCUCCCCAGGAACCAGGGUUAUACACCACCACACCCAGCUUUAUAAUGCAGAUCAUUAGAUAAAUUGGUUUUAAGGUUAAAUAACCUAUAACAUUAUUACUAAGUAACUUUUUUAUUUCAUGAUUUUUGACAGUUUGGGUUUUUUAAAUUAUUCUUUUAGCCUGCAUAAUAUUCUUCAAAUUUAUUUGUAAAAUAUAUAUACUUUAUUUCAGGCCCAUGUGUAUCUUGUUUCUCCAUAACAAUAUUUCUCUUAUCCCAGCUUUAUUAAGAUUCAGAGAGUUUGAGUAACUCGCCCUUGAUAACAUAGUUUGGAAAUGUUAGAGCUUUGAACUCAUAUCUUUCUGACUCCAAAAAUUGAUAAGAGCUUUAUAUAGUAAAGGAAACAAUUAGGAAUGUGAAGAGACAACCCACAAAAUGGGAGAAAAUCCUUGCUAGCUACUCUUCUGAUAGAGGGUUAAUAUCUAGAAUAUAGAAAGAACUCAAAAAAACUUUACACCAAAAAAAAAUCAAAUAACCCAAUAAUAAAUAGGCAAAAGAAGAAAUACAAAUGGCCAACAAAUACAUGAAAAAAUGUUCAACAUCAUUAGCAUUUAGGGAAAUGCAAAUCAAAGCUACACUGAGAUUUCACCUCAACCCAAUCAGAAUGGUGGUCAUCAAGAAUACAAACAAUAAUAAAUGCUGGAGAGGAUGUGGAGAAAAAGAACACUUUUACACUGUUGGUGAGACUGUAAAUUAGUACGACUACUAUGGAAAUCAGUAUGGAGACUUCUCAAAAGACUAGGCUUGGAACUGCCAUAUGAUCCAGCUAUUCCACUUCUCGGUAUUUAUCCUGAAGAAUUAAAGUCAUUUCACUACAGUUGUACAAGCAUACCCAUGUUUAUAGCAGUACGGUUCACAAUAUCCAAACUAUGGAACCAGCCUCAGUGUCCAUCAACCAAUGAGUGAAUAAAGAAAAUGUGGUGUGUAUACACAAUGGAGUUUUAUUCAGCCAUAAAGAAAAAUUAAGUUAUAGCAUUUGCAGGAAAAUGGAUAGAAUUAGAGACCAUCAUGUUAAGUAAAAUAAGACAAACUCAGGUCAAGGAUUGUAUAUUUUCUUUUGUAUGUGGAAGCUAGAGAAGGAAAAGAAAUGUGGAAGUGGAUCUCCUAAAAAUCAAAGGAAGAUCAGUAGAGGAAAGGGACCAGGGGUGAGAAGU
rnacentral:lncRNA from 1 species